rnacentral:misc_RNA from 1 species
GAAAUGCGAUAAGUAGUGUGAAUUGCAGAAUUCAGUGAAUCAUCGAAGCUUUGAACGCACAUUGCGCCCCUUGGUAUUCCAUGGGGCAUGCCUGUUCGAGCGUCAUUUGUACCUUCAAGCUUUGCUUGGUGUUGGGUGUUUGUCUCGCCUCUGCGUGUAGACUCGCCUCAAAACAAUUGGCAGCCGGCGUAUUGAUUUCGGAGCGCAGUACAUCUCGCGCUUUGCACUCAUAACGACGACGUCCAAAAGUACAUUUUUACACUCUUGACCUCGGAUCAGGUAGGGAUACCCGCUGAACUUAAGC